AUUAUGAUAGAUAUGGUGAAACUCAAGAAUCCAACUCAAGAUUCCUGAUAAAGAUGAUAGAGUGGAAGGUGUAGUGUACUGUUCAUUUGGAAGGGAAGCGUAUUCUUCACCCCAAAUCCCGCUCAAAUUCUCUAUUUCUACACGUUAGCAUUUAAAAAAUUUCUCUCCCAAAAGUUUUGAUUUCGCUCACUGAACGGAUCCCCCAUCCCCAUCUUUGAAAUUUUCACCUCUCUCGUGUGAUGGAGAAGUAGGAUGAAGAGGGGGCUGAUGAUGUACCAAACAUUACAGCAGUGGUCGGAGUGCCUCGGUUACCACUCCCAGACUCGAAGAUUAGGACCACUCCUUUGAUUCCACCAACAAUUACAAUCAUUGAUUUUCCCUUCUCUGGUGCGUCCAAAUCCCCCACCAUCAAGAUCAGAAAGGUUUGCAUGUGACACCGCAGAUAAACCUCGUUCGUGAUUUUUGACUUCAGUAACAACAACUUGCAGAUGUGAGAUAAGGAUUACGGAUAAGUGGUUUUUACGGGAUGGGUACAUUAGCUUCCUUUAUGCUGAUUCAGUUGGAAGUGUAUCAGAAGCUUUUGGAAAUUUAUUGAUGGAACAGGAUGCGGUGCUGCAAUGCAGAAAGUGUGUUGCUUUAUAGGAGUCAAAGGAAUCACAAAGUGAGUUUGUUGGAUAUUUGGACUGCCAUUCCUUUUUAACAAAUGAUAGCAGCUCCAUGGUGAAGUAUAAGGUUUCUACACUGAAACUUUGGAAAGCAUGGUUGGGUUGGUGUCAGAUAACAUGGAAAUUGAAACCUUCACAUGAUAGAUAGUAGUGUAAAGCUAGAUAUUGUGGUCUAGAAAUGCUUUAAUUAGCUAUUGUUUCUAUAUUGCUGGUUUGUUUUGGAAGUUGGCAUAAAUCAAUGAUGCAUAGAUCUGUCAGUUGGUGUUCCACGGUUAUAUAUGGUUUAUUAUUGUUCUUGGAGUCUAUGAGGGAUGCAGGGGAAACGAGUCACUGUCAUUGUCUCUUGUAAUUUUAUUUUUAUUGUCCCUUGAAUUUAUAUUUUGACUUGAUAUCUUACUCCCUCAACAUUGAAGUAUGGCUUUUUGUUUCACUUUUC